UGCAGGACUUCAGAUCAAUAAAAAUUUAUUAAAUUCCCCUUUAAAAAAGCUUAGAGGACAAUGCCUUAUAACAUCUCUUUUGUUGGACCAGAAAAUGACAAUUGUACUUCAAAGUAAGCAAGUCGAAAGCAUUGCAUUCAUUAAUGGAAUCUGAACUGAUGGUAAAGACUGAGAAAAGAUUUUAAGGCUGAACAAAGUGCCUCAUUGGCCUAUCAUGCCUAUGAAAUAGGGAUAGUUAAUGUAAGGGGGCAGUUAGUUAUUUUACCUGAAAAUCAAGCAGCCAGUAUCAGUCUAUAGUUGAAUAGACCGGAAUAGUUAACAACUCUAGCCAUAUUAGCUUAACAUAGGCAUCCUAGCAGAGGAAAUUGCAGAAAUAAGUUGUCCAACUGAUCAGUUAGCAGUUCUGAUAAAGUGUUUUGGAUACUACAGUUCAGAAAAAAACAAACAAACAGUGACAAAACCACAAAGGAGAGAAGGGGGCAAGUCGUAAGUAGAGCUUUUCUUCCUUGCUGGUAGUAAGAUAAAUGCAGACAAUACUCUGAAAUUAAAUGCCAGAGGUGAUAGAAAACACUUCUUUGUGUAGGGCAAAACUGGCUGACAAAAUUCAUUGCUACAAAUUGUGACUAUAGUUACAAAAGUGAAUACUGAUUUCUUGCUGAUUUGCCUUACAAAACUACUAAAUUCACAGAUAAUCUGCUAUUAGCGACCAUGGAGAAAAUGAUGCUGGACUAGACAGUCUUUCGACUUAAAAAUGUUUCUGUCUUAAUACUUGUUACUUUCAGAAACGCUUUCAGAACAUUUGGCAAAUUCUCCUAUCUUCUAUGCCUGUGUUCUUAAGAGGCAGUUUGUAUCAUCAUAGCACACUGAUACUUAGCUUAGGUUAGACCAGGGGUGGGCAAUCCAACAAACAGCCAUUAGCUCAGGGCUGUCAAACUCCUUGCCCACGCGCUGGAUGCGUCACGUGCUGGCCACACCCACGCCCAGUUUAGCGAAGGGGGAAAAAAAAUCCCAGUACAUCAUGCUGCCAUGACGACAUGAGUUUGACAGCUCUGCAUUAACUUAUAUACAGUACUACUAAAACUCUUGUUUCUGUUUGAUACUCU
rnacentral:lncRNA from 1 species